ACCCUUUUUAGGUUCACAAGUGUGAUGAUUGGGUGUUCAUGCACCUGCAUGACAUGUGCCGCCCUCAAACCUUAUUACUCACUGGCACAUUAGGCAUCUGAUG